rnacentral:rRNA from 1 species
GAGAUGAGAAUGUGCCUUCGGGAACCGUGAGACAGGUGCUGCAUGGCUGUCGUCAGCUCGUGUUGUGAAAUGUUGGUUAAGUCCCGCACGAGCGCAACCCUUAUCCUUUGUUGCCAGCGGUCCGGCCGGGAACUCAAAGGAGACUGCCAGUGAUAAACUGGAGGAAGGUGGGGAUGACGUCAAGUCAUCAUGGCCCUUACGACCAGGGCUACACACGUGCUACAAUGGCGCAUACAAAGAGAAGCGACCUCGCGAGAGCAAGCGGACCUCAUAAAGUGCGUCGUAGUCCGGAUUGGAGUCUGCAACUCGACUCCAUGAAGUCGGAAUCGCUAGUAACCGUGGAUCAGAAUGCCACGGUGAAUACGUUCCCGGGCCUU